UUCGGCCAUAGUGGCGCACGGGUGAGUAACGCGUGGGAACCUGCCCAGCAGUGGGGAAUAACUUCGGGAAACCGGGGCUAAUACCGCAUACGCCCUUAGGGGGAAAGAUUUAUCGCUGUUGGAGGGGCCCGCGUCCGAUUAGUUUGUUGGUGGGGUAAUGGCCUACCAAGAUUACGAUCGGUAGCUGGUCUGAGAGGAUGAUCAGCCACACUGGGACUGAGACACGGCCCAGACUCCUACGGGAGGCAGCAGUGGGGAAUAUUGGACAAUGGGCGCAAGCCUGAUCCAGCAAUGCCGCGUGAGUGAUGAAGGCCUUAGGGUUGUAAAGCUCUUUCGGCGGGGACGAUGAUGACGGUACCCGCAGAAGAAGCCCCGGCUAACUUCGUGCCAGCAGCCGCGGUAAUACGAAGGGGGCUAGCGUUGUUCGGAAUUACUGGGCGUAAAGAGCACGUAGGCGGUUCGUUAAA
rnacentral:rRNA from 1 species